AUUGAACGCUGGCGGCAGGCCUAACACAUGCAAGUCGAACGAGUGGCGGACGGGUGAGUAAUGUCUGGGAAACUGCCUGAUGGAGGGGGAUAACUACUGGAAACGGUAGCUAAUACCGCAUACCAUCGGAUGUGCCCAGGUGGGAUUAGCUAGUAGGGGGGGUAACGGCUCACCUAGGCGACGAUCCCUAGCUGGGCUUAGAGGAUGAACAGCAACACUGGAACUGAGACAAGGUCCAGACUCCUACGGGAGGCAGCAGUGGGGAAUAUGGCACAAUGGGCGCAAGCCUGAUGCAGAAAUGCCGCGUGUAUGAAGAAGGCCUUCGGGUUGUAAAGGACUUUCAGCGGGGAGGCGUUACCCGCAGAAGAAGCACCGGCUAACUCCGUGCCAGCAGCCGCGGUAAUAC
rnacentral:rRNA from 1 species